CCUACGGGUGGCAGCAGUGGGGAAUCUUCCACAAUGGGCGCAAGCCUGACGGAGCAAUGCCGCGUGAACGAAGAAGGUCUUCGGAUUGUAAAGUUCUUUCCUUAUCGAAGAGAGGGUAUAGAGUGAAAAAUGAUAUACUAGGACGGUAGAUGAGGAGGAAGCCCCGGCUAACUACGUGCCAGCAGCCGCGGUAACACGUAGGGGGCGGACGUUGUCCGGAACCCCGGGGCGUAAAGGGCGCGUAGGCGGUAAUACAAGGCAGAUGUUAAAGGUGGGGGCUCAACCCCUAGAGUGCAACUGAUACGGGAUAACUUGAGUGUGAGAGAGGGAAGCGGAAUGCCUAGGGUAGCGGUGAAAUGCGUAGAUAUGAGGAGGAACACCAGUGGCGAAGGCGGCUUUCUGGCUCAUAACUGACGCUGAGGCGCGAAAGCGUGGGGAGCAAACAGGAUUAGAUACCCCUGUAGUC
rnacentral:rRNA from 1 species